CGAAGGAUCCAAGCGUUGUCCGGAUUUACUGGGUUUAAAGGGUGCGUAGGCGGACUUUUAAGUCAGUGGUGAAAGCUCGCAGCUUAACUGUGAAAUUGCCAUUGAAACUGAAAGUCUCGAGUGUGGUUGAGGUAACUGGAAUAUAUCAUGUAGCGGUGAAAUGCUUAGAUAUGAUAUAGAACACCAAUUGCGAAGGCAGGUUACUGAGCCACAACUGACGCUGAGGCACGAAAGCGUGGGGAUCAAACAGGAUUAGAUACCCUGGUAGUCCACGCCGUAAACGUUGAAUACUCGAUCUUAGCGAUACACAGUUAGGAUCCAAGCGAAAGCGUUAAGUAUUCCACCUGGGAAGUACGUUCGCAAGAAUG
rnacentral:rRNA from 1 species